AGUGAACGCUGGCGGUAGGCCUAACACAUGCAAGUCGAACGGCAGCACAGAGGAGCUUGCUCCUUGGGUGGCGAGUGGCGGACGGGUGGGGAAUACAUCGGAAUCUACUCUGUCGUGGGGGAUAACGUAGGGAAACUUACGCUAAUACCGCAUACGACCUACGGGUGAAAGCAGGGGAUCUUCGGACCUUGCGCGAUUGAAUGAGCCGAUGUCGGAUUAGCUAGUUGGCGGGGUAAAGGCCCACCAAGGCGACGAUCCGCAGCUGGUCUGAGAGGAUGAUCAGCCACACCGGAACUGAGACACGGUCCAGGCUCCUACGGGAGGCAGCAGUGGGGAAUAUUGGACAAUGGGCGCAAGCCUGAUCCAGCCAUACCGCGUGGGUGAAGAAGGCCUUCGGGUUGUAGAGCCCUUUUGUUGGGAAAGAAAUCCAUCUGGUUAAUACCCGGGUGGGAUGACGGUACCCAAAGAAUAAGCACCGGCUAACUUCGUGCCAGCCGCCGCCGUAA
rnacentral:rRNA from 1 species